rnacentral:rRNA from 1 species
AUUACUCCUACGGGAGGCAGCAGUAGGGAAUUUUCCACAAUGGGGGCAACCCUGAUGGAGCAACGCCGCGUGCAGGAUGAAUGCCUUCGGGUUGUAAACUGCUUUUAUAUGUGACGAAUAUGACGGUAGCAUAUGAAUAAGGAUCGGCUAACUCCGUGCCAGCAGCCGCGGUAAUAAU